rnacentral:misc_RNA from 1 species
AAGACUAUAGACCUGCGGAGUACCUGCGGAAGGAUCAUUACAGAGUUGCAAAACUCCCUAAACCAUUGUGAACGUUACCUAAACCGUUGCUUCGGCGGGCGGCGCGCCCUCGCGCGCGCCCCUGGGCCCCACCGCGGGCGCCCGCCGGAGGUCACCAAACUCUUGAUAUUAAUUGGCCUCUCUGAGUCUUCUGUACUGAAUAAGUCAAAACUUUCAGCAACGGAUCUCUAGAUCGGAAGA